rfam:Lactobacillus ruminis ATCC 27782, complete genome.
CAAGAGCCGGUCACUGUCAUUAACCUCACGUUAGGAUAUGGGAAUACCAGCGUUGA